rnacentral:rRNA from 1 species
AUGGCGACCGGCGCACGGGUGAGUAACACGUAUCCAACCUGCCCUUUACUCGGGGAUAGCCUUUCGAAAGAAAGAUUAAUACCCGAUAGCAUAAUGAUUCCGCAUGGUUUCAUUAUUAAAGGAUUCCGGUAAAGGAUGGGGAUGCGUUCCAUUAGGUUGUUGGUGAGGUAACGGCUCACCAAGCCUUCGAUGGAUAGGGGUUCUGAGAGGAAGGUCCCCCACACUGGAACUGAGACACGGUCCAG